rnacentral:rRNA from 1 species
GCGACUAAGCGUACACGGUGGAUGCCCUGGCAGUCAGAGGCGAUGAAGGACGUGCUAAUCUGCGAUAAGCGUCGGUAAGGUGAUAUGAACCGUUAUAACCGGCGAUUUCCGAAUGGGGAAACCCAGUGUGAUUCGUCACACUAUCAUUAACUGAAUCCAUAGGUUAAUGAGGCGAACCGGGGGAACUGAAACAUCUAAGUACCCCGAGGAAAAGAAAUCAACCGAGAUUCCCCCAGUAGCGGCGAGCGAACGGGGAGCAGCCCAGAGCCUGAAUCAGUGUGUGUGUUA